rfam:Strongylocentrotus purpuratus Contig96729_fixed, whole genome shotgun sequence.
GGCGCUGUGGCUUAGUUGGUAAAGCGUCUGUCUAGUAAACAGAAGAUCCCCGGUUCAAAUCCGGGCUGUGCCU